rnacentral:lncRNA from 1 species
GGAAACAAAGAAGUGUAUGGCAUCUUAACCGGACCAGUCCUGUUCUUGAGAUUCUCGUCUAGGUUCCUUUCAUCAAUCUUCUUCUCAAUCUCUUUUACUUUGUCUCCAAACUUCUCAAACGCUUCCAACGCCUCUUUCUCAGCCGCCCAUUCCUUAGAAUCUCUCUGCCCCAAAUACACCUCAUCGCUAGAAUGAGUAGACAGAAUCUCAAUCAGAGAUAUCCCAAGAAGCGUCUGAAGCUGAGCCGUGAUCGUCUUCAAAAACACUUUGUCCGGAUUCUUCUCAAGUUCUUCAAACUCAGGAGUGUUUUCCUUUGGCAUGAACUGUCGGCUUAUGGUCGGCCUGUUCGGGAGAUACCCUGCAAUGGGAUACUGUCCGA